ACUUCAGUGAUUUAUUGAGCAGGGGAUCUCAUGAGUUCAAAACAAAGGGUCCUGGAGCAACACCUCAAAAUGCAUAGCAGACAACAGGUAAGACAUAGCAGCAACCUUUGACUUAGAGGAGAAGGAGGUUACCAUUUAUAGGAGGAAUUGAAGUCAGGUUGGCUCAUCAGUUACCAGGGAAACCAGCAGCUGAGACCCAUGCCUUAUAGCCCCUCAGGUUAACAACCAUUAUGAGGGCAAAUAUUCCUCUUUAAUAAACUACCAGGUAGAGCUGUUCUGGCCUAAGGAUUAGCUGGGGCAGGGGUGAGCACAGUCACGUAGGUGAGGUGUAGGUGUAACAGGGAUUGGUCGAUAGGGGACAUACAGACAGCAAGAGAACAGUCAUCUUGAGGAGCCAUCCACCACCAUUCACCACCGUUCUACCUUCUUUCUCUAUGAAUUCAGCUAUUGCUGGUGCCUCAUUCUUAUCUCCCUAAGCUACUGGAGUCGUAGCAUUUCAGCUUCCUUCAGUGACAGAACACAGUGGAAUCCAGGUUACAGUCUACCAACCGAGUCAACCACUGUCUCAAGCUAAGGAGAGUGAGUGCAGAAUCCCUGGACCUCUGGCUACUGCAUCCGUGCUAAUAAUUUGGCCCAUAAGAUUGUGUUUCUGGUAGAAUACUCAAUAAAUUCUCCAAUUUUUUUAACCAAUAUUACUUUUAGCAAAAUCUUGCAAUUCUUUUGGCGCAUGAAUCUUUUCCUUCUGUGUUUGACUUUUAAAACUGGUCCCUAAAGGCAUGCUAGAUCUAGAACUACUUACAAGCCUGCAGGGAAUGAAGGGUCAUGGGUGAAAAGCAGGAGAAC
rnacentral:lncRNA from 1 species